rnacentral:rRNA from 1 species
ACUCCUACGGGAGGCAGCAGUGGGGAAUUUUGGACAAUGGGCGCAAGCCUGAUCCAGCAAUGCCGCGUGAGUGAAGAAGGCCUUCGGGUUGUAAAGCUCUUUCAGUUGAAAAGAAAAAGUCGUGACUAAUAAUCAUGGCUCAUGACGGUAUCAACAGAAGAAGCACCGGCUAACUACGUGCCAGCAGCCGCGGUAAUACGUAGGGUGCAAGCGUUAAUCGGAAUUACUGGGUGUAAAGGGUGCGCAGGCGGUUCUGUAAGUCAGAUGUGAAAUCCCCGGGCUUAGCCUGGGAACUGCGUUUGAAACUGCAGAGCUAGAGUGCGGCAGAGGGAGGUGGAAUUCCAUGUGUAGCAGUGAAAUGCGUAGAGAUAUGGAAGAACAUCGAUGGCGAAGGCAACCUCCUGGGCUAGCACUGACGCUCAUGCACGAAAGCGUGGGGAGCAAACAGGAUUAGAUACCCUGGUAGUCCACGCCCUAAACUAUGUCAACUAGUUGUCGGGUCUUAAUAGACUUGGUAACGUAGCUAACGCGUGAAGUUGACCGCCUGGGGAGUACGGUCGCAAGAUUAAAACUCAAAGGAAUUGACGGGGACCCGCACAAGCGGUGGAUUAUGUGGAUUAAUUCGAUGCAACGCGAAAAACCUUACCUACCCUUGACAUGUCAGAAAAUUUUCAGAGAUGAAUUUGUGCCCGAAAGGGAAUCUGAACACAGGUGCUGCAUGGCUGUCGUCAGCUCGUGUCGCGAGAUGUUGGGUUAAGUCCCGCAACGAGCGCAACCCUUGUCAUUAAUUGCCAUCAUUAAGUUGGGCACUUUAAUGAGACUGCCGGUGAUAAACCGGAGGAAGGUGGGGAUGACGUCAAGUCCUCAUGGCCCUUAUGGGUAGGGCUUCACACGUAAUACAAUGGCG